rnacentral:rRNA from 1 species
UGGUUCUCCCCGAAAGCUAUUUAGGUAGCGCCUCGUGAAUUCAUCUCCGGGGGUAGAGCACUGUUUCGGCUAGGGGGCCAUCCCGGCUUACCAACCCGAUGCAAACUGCGAAUACCGGAGAAUGUUAUCACGGGAGACACACGGCGGGUGCUAACGUCCGUCGUGAAGAGGGAAACAACCCAGACCGCCAGCUAAGGUCCCAAAGUCAUGGUUAAGUGGGAAACGAUGUGGGAAGGCCCAGACAGCCAGGAUGUUGGCUUAGAAGCAGCCAUCAUUUAAAGAAAGCGUAAUAGCUCACUGGUCGAGUCGGCCUGCGCGGAAGAUGUAACGGGGCUAAACCAUGCACCGAAGCUGCGGCAGCGAACGUAUCACCCAAGACAACUUUACGGAGUUGACGAUUGACGGAGCGAAGCGACGUCAAAGCGUUCAUUAAAGUCGAGUUGGCUUAGGGAUACGUUCGUUGGGUAGGGGAGCGUUCUGUAAGCCUGUGAAGGUGUGUCGUGAGGCAUGCUGGAGGUAUCAGAAGUGCGAAUGCUGACAUAAGUAACGAUAAAGCGGGUGAAAAGCCCGCUCGCCGGAAGACCAAGGGUUCCUGUCCAACGUUAAUCGGGGCAGGGUGAGUCGACCCCUAAGGCGAGGCCGAAAGGCGUAGUCGAUGGGAAACGGGUUAAUAUUCCCGUACUUGGUGUUACUGCGAAGGGGGGACGGAGAAGGCUAUGUUGGCCGGGCGACGGUUGUCCCGGUUUAAGCGUGUAGGUGUGUGUUCCAGGUAAAUCCGGUUCACUUUAACACUGAGGCGUGACGACGAGGCACUACGGUGCUGAAGCAACAAAUGCCCUGCUUCCAGGAAAAGCCUCUAAGCAUCAGGUAACACGAAAUCGUACCCCAAACCGACACAGGUGGUCAGGUAGAGAAUACCAAGGCGCUUGAGAGAACUCGGGUGAAGGAACUAGGCAAAAUGGUGCCGUAACUUCGGGAGAAGGCACGCUGACACGUAGGUGAAGUGAUUUACUCAUGGAGC